rnacentral:rRNA from 1 species
UACGGGGGGGGCAAGCGUUGUUCGGAAUUACUGGGCGUAAAGGGCUCGUAGGCGGCCAACUAAGUCAUACGUGAAAUCCCUCGGCUUAACCGGGGAACUGCGUCUGAUACUGGAUGGCUUGAGAUUGGGAGAGGGAUGCGGAAUUCCAGGUGUAGCGGUGAAAUGCGUAGAUAUCUGGAGGAACACCGGUGGCGAAGGCGGUUCUCUGGGAAUGUUCUGACGCUGAGGAGCGAAAGUGUGGGGAGCGAACAGG